UUUUUUUUGGGGGGCUUGCAAGAUGCUGAUGCGAGGGAGAGAGAGCGGGGAAGAAACAGGCGUCACUGUGGAGCGCCUCCAUUGAUAAAGUGGCGCGGCUGCAGCAGGACACACUCGGCGUCAUCAUGCGCUCGCGCUUCGUUUGUGUCCAGUCGAAACGCCGCGGCGAAAACCAAACCGCCUCAGCUCAGUUGGACGCAUUUGGGAACGGCACCUGUGACCCAGAGGCAACCCCUCGGAUGUAAACGCAUCUCAGCCGCAGCCCCAUUUGCCGUCAAGCAGCCCACCCCUACUGCCCUUGACCCCCCGCACCCUCCAUCCGUCACACUGGGCUCUACGGAGGCAAGCGGGGCGCCGGUGUCGGCCAUGAAGCUGGUGAACGGUGGACGACGGGGUGCAGGAGGAGGAGGAGAGAAGGCGGCGUUCUCCUUCAAGAAGUGCUCAGCCUUUCAGUUUGUCAAGAGGAAGGUGCGUCGAUGGAUGCGUAACCCCAAAGUGAGCGUGGAGAAGGCGCAGGGCAAAUGUCUGCCGUACCCGUGCGCCAGGUGCCCGCCGGCCGAGGGGCCGCGCUACCCCCGCUCGGCCUCGUGCCGCUCGCCG